CGGGCAUAUUAUAUUACCGCGCAGCGUGGUAGCGCAAUACGUUCGGGACGUAUGGGUCGGAGGUUCGAAUCCUCUCUCACCGACCA
rnacentral:tRNA from 1 species